rnacentral:lncRNA from 1 species
ACAGGGAGAAGUAGGAGAUCAAGGAAAUAUUGGAAAAAUUGGUGAAACAGGACCUGUUGGCUUACCUGGAGAAGUUGGGAUGACUGGAAGCAUUGGUGAAAAGGGAGAACGUGGAAGUCCAGGCCCACUAGGUCCCCAGGGAGAAAAAGGUGUUAUGGGAUAUCCAGGUCCUCCUGGGGUUCCAGGACCUAUCGGUCCAUUGGGA